GUGAAUCAUCGAAUUUUUGAACGCAAAUUGCGCUUCCUAGCAUCCCGGGAAGUAUGCCUGUUUGAGGGUCAGUAUUAACAAAAAAAUCGGUUUGGUUGCAGAUUGUGACGUUUCCGGAGUUUGGGCUUCUCUUAAUUUUUUGGGUUAAAGGGCUUAAAAUGAACAUUUUUUGCGUAGUUUUAGACGUAAAUAAAUUUUUUUUUAUCCGUUUUUCCUUAAUGCUAAAAUCUUAUUAGAUUCAAUCUC
rnacentral:misc_RNA from 1 species